rnacentral:rRNA from 1 species
UACGUAGGGGGCGAGCGUUGUCCGGAUUUAUUGGGCGUAAAGAGCUCGUAGGCGGUUUGGCAAGUCGGGUGUGAAAACUCCGGGCUCAACUCGGAGACGCCACUCGAUACUGCUAUGACUCGAGUCCGGUAGGGGAGUGCGGAAUUCCUGGUGUAGCGGUGAAAUGCGCAGAUAUCAGGAGGAACACCCGUGGCGAAGGCGGCUCUCUGGGACGGUACUGACGCUGAGACGCGAAAGCGUGGGGAGCGAACAGG